UCAGUACUUGGAUGGGUGACCGCCUGGGA
rnacentral:sRNA from 1 species